UUUAAUUUUAUGAUUUUUACUUUUUAAGGAUAAGGAGGUGGAAAUAUAAACAGGAAAUAGUUGGGAGAAUGGUCUAUACAUGCCUCCACUAACAUAAAGAAUAAAAUGAUUUUGCCCUUUCUUAGUUCUUCAGAGAUCUCCCUGGCUAUCUCAAUUAAAUUGGCCACUCCAAAAUAAAACUACACUUUUAACCUUUAGAACUACAUCCUAAGGUAGGACAGAAACAGUUUUAGACAGAAAUCCUGGGAUGAAAGAGAGUUUCAAGUGACAUUUUUCUUGUAAAUAAAUAUCUGCUAAUGUCUUUUUCAAUAUGGCUGACUAGAUACCUGGAAUGAUCUUCCCCAAUGAGAAGAAAUAAAUGUGUUAAGUGAAACAUAAAAAGGCAUUGCUGAACUGGUUUGGUAAUAAGGAAUCUGCAGAGAUGCAUUUGUUGGGAAAGUAGAGAUCCACUUCACAUCUUGGGAUCCACUCUGAUGGCUUCAUGGACAACAAAUCAUAAACUCUAAGACUCUUCAAAGACACAAAAAGAUGGAAUUUGGAGGACAAGACAAGAGAUACUAAGAAGAGUAAAGCCAAUAAACAGACUGCAGCACAGAAAGGGUCCAGGACCAGGGAGGUGGCUUGUUCAGGAAAGAGUUAACUCAACAGGUCUGGGAUAUUCAAAUCCCACACAUUUCAAAAUAAAGCUCUGUCCUCAUUGGCUAUUGGGAGAAAAUCUACGUCUUUGGACUAUUCUUCCAGGUAAGACCCUAUUCAUAUGCCUAAGUUCCUUUGGCCAUGGCAGAUAAUUUAUGCUAACAAUGAAACUUAUAGGUCAUAAUGCAUCAGUUUUGACUUCUGGAGAGGUUGG
rnacentral:lncRNA from 1 species